AAGUGGCUUUGAACUGAAUUGUGACCUAAGAAUGACACUGUACAACUCUCUUGGUAUCAUCAGGUGAGCACACAUACUCCUGGUGAAAGAGCCUCCCACUGGUGAGCUGAAGGUCCUUGCCCUGGAGGAGAAGCAGCAGCAGAACAGAUGUGACGGGGAAUUUAACCCAAGACUGGAAGAUAAGGUGAAAUGGAAAACUGGAGAUGAUCAGAUGCUCGAAGAGAAGGAGAACCUUUUCUAGAAAUACCAUCUGGAACUGGAAUAUCAAGUGGAAGAGCAACCAUCCCUUUGUAGGUCAUGCUUUGAACAAGGAGGAGGAAGGA
rnacentral:lncRNA from 1 species